GGCAGCGGCAUCGCUUUGAUCGACGGGCUUAUCGCCCGCUGUUUUAGCGGUUGCUUCGAGGGCUUCACCUAUGGUUAUUGCGUUUUGCUGCACAGCGCCCACUUGGCUUGUCAUAACCGGUGUUGCUUGAACAUAUUGUCCCACAACCUAACAAUGAAACGAACGAAAGCAUAAAUUUUAACGUGUUCAUUGGAGAGGUAAAAAUUAAAAGAAAUAAAUGAUCAAAACACCUGG
rnacentral:lncRNA from 1 species